rnacentral:rRNA from 1 species
AUACUCCUGACUGACCGAUAGUGAACCAGUACCGUGAGGGAAAGGCGAAAAGAACCCCGGCGAGGGGAGUGAAAAAGAACCUGAAACCGUGUACGUACAAGCAGUGGGAGCACAGGUUUACCUGUGUGACUGCGUACCUUUUGUAUAAUGGGUCAGCGACUUAUAUUCUGUAGCAAGGUUAACCGUAUAGGGGAGCCGUAGGGAAACCGAGUCUUAACCGGGCGUUAAGUUGCAGGGUAUAGACCCGAAACCCGGUGAUCUAGCCAUGGGCAGGUUGAAGGUUGGGUAACACUAACUGGAGGACCGAACCGACUAAUGUUGAAAAAUUAGCGGAUGACCUGUGGCUGGGGGUGAAAGGCCAAUCAAACCGGGAGAUAGCUGGUUCUCCCCGAAAGCUAUUUAGGUAGCGCCUCGUGAAUUCAUCUCCGGGGGUAGAGCACUGUUUCGGCUAGGGGGCCAUCCCGGCUUACCAACCCGAUGCAAACUGCGAAUACCGGAGAAUGUUAUCACGGGAGACACACGGCGGGUGCUAACGUCCGUCGUGAAGAGGGAAACAACCCAGACCGCCAGCUAAGGUCCCAAAGUCAUGGUUAAGUGGGAAACGAUGUGGGAAGGCCCAGACAGCCAGGAUGUUGGCUUAGAAGCAGCCAUCAUUUAAAGAAAGCGUAAUAGCUCACUGGUCGAGUCGGCCUGCGCGGAAGAUGUAACGGGGCUAAACCAUGCACCGAAGCUGCGGCAGCGAACGUAUCACCCAAGACAACUUUACGGAGUUGACGAUUGACGGAGCGAAGCGACGUCAAAGCGUUCAUUAAAGUCGAGUUGGCUUAGGGAUACGUUCGUUGGGUAGGGGAGCGUUCUGUAAGCCUGUGAAGGUGUGUCGUGAGGCAUGCUGGAGGUAUCAGAAGUGCGAAUGCUGACAUAAGUAACGAUAAAGCGGGUGAAAAGCCCGCUCGCCGGAAGACCAAGGGUUCCUGUCCAACGUUAAUCGGGGCAGGGUGAGUCGACCCCUAAGGCGAGGCCGAAAGGCGUAGUCGAUGGGAAACGGGUUAAUAUUCCCGUACUUGGUGUUACUGCGAAGGGGGGACGGAGAAGGCUAUGUUGGCCGGGCGACGGUUGUCCCGGUUUAAGCGUGUAGGUGUGUGUUCCAGGUAAAUCCGGUUCACUUUAACACUGAGGCGUGACGACGAGGCACUACGGUGCUGAAGCAACAAAUGCCCUGCUUCCAGGAAAA